rnacentral:rRNA from 1 species
CCCCUAGAUGUCCUGGGCCGCACGCGCAAUACAAUGUAAAGUUCAGAAAGCAUAUCCUGUUCCGGAAGGCAAUGGGUAAUCUUUUCAAUAUUUUACGUGUUAGGGAUCGAUCUUUGCAAUUAUAGAUCUUGAACGAGGAAUACCUAGUAGGUGCAGCUCAUCAGGCUGUACUGAUUACGUCCCUGCCCUUUGUACACACCGCCCGUCGCUCCUACCGAUUUCGAGUGGUCCGGUGAAUCUUUUGGAAUUAGAGUGCAAACUCAAACUAAGAUCGAUAAACCUUAUCACUUAGAGGAAGGAGAAGUCGUAACA